AGCGAACGCUGGCGGCAGGCCUAACACAUGCAAGUCGAACGAACCUUUCGGGGUUAGUGGCGGACGGGUGAGUAACACGUGGGAACGUGCCUUUAGGUUCGGAAUAACUCAGGGAAACUUGUGCUAAUACCGAAUGUGCCCUUCGGGGGAAAGAUUUAUCGCCUUUAGAGCGGCCCGCGUCUGAUUAGCUAGUUGGUUGAGGUAAUGGCUCACCAAGGCGACCAUCAGUAGCUGGUCUGAGAGGAUGAUCAGCCACAUUGGGACUGAGACACGGCCCAAACUCCUACGGGAGGCAGCAGUGGGGAAUCUUGCGCAAUGGGCGAAAGCCUGACGCAGCCAUGCCGCGUGAAUGAUGAAGGUCUUAGGAUUGUAAAAUUCUUUCACCGGGGACGAUAAUGACGGUACCCGGAGAAGAAGCCCCGGCUAACUUCGUG
rnacentral:rRNA from 1 species